GACGAACGCUGGCGGCGUGCUUAACACAUGCAAGUCGAACGGAAAGGCCUCUUUCGGGGGGUACUCGAGUGGCGAACGGGUGAGUAACACGUGAGUAACCUGCCCUUGACUUUGGGAUAACUUCAGAAAACUGUGGCUAAUACCGGAUAGGAGCUCCUGCUGCAUGGUGGGGGUUGGAAAGUUUCGGCGGCUGGGGAUGGACUCGCGGCUUAUCAGCUUGUUGGUGGGGUAGUUGCUUACCAAGGCUUUGACGGGUAGCCGGCCUGAGAGGGUGACCGGCCAAAUUGGGACUGAGAUACGGCCCAGACUACUACGGGAGGCAGGAGGGGGGAAUAGUGCACAAUGGGUGGAAGCCUGAUGCAGCAACGCCGGGUGCGGGAUGACGGCCUUCGGGUUGUAAACCGCUUUCGCUCAUGACGAAGCUUUGUGUGACGGUAGUAGGUAAAGAAGCACCGGCUAACUACGUG
rnacentral:rRNA from 1 species